rnacentral:rRNA from 1 species
AUUGAACGCUGGCGGCAGGCCUAGCGCAUGCAAGUCGAGCGGCAGCGGAAGGAAGCUUGCUUUCUUGCCGGCGAGCGGCGGACGGGUGAGUAAGGUAUGGGGAUCUGGCCGAAGGCGGGGGAUAACCACUGGAAACGGUGGCUAAUACCGCAUAAUCUCUAAGGAGCAAAGUGGGGGACCGUUCAGGCCUCACACCUUCGGAUGAACCCAUAUGAGAUUAGCUAGUAGGUGGGGUAAUGGCUCACCUAGGCGACGAUCGCUAGCUGGUCUGAGAGGGUGAUCGGCCAAACUGGGACGGAGACACGGCCCAGACUCCUACGGGAGGCAGCAGUGGGGAAUAUUGCACAAUGGGCGCAAGCCUGAUGCAGCCAUGCCGCGUGUAUGAAGAAGGCCUUCGGGUUGUAAAGUACUUUCAGUCGUGAGGAAGGUGUUAAGGUUAAUAACCUUAGCAAUUGACGUUAGCGACAGAAGAAGCACCGGCUAACUCCGUGCCAGCCGCCGCCGUAA